ensembl:lncRNA
CCUUCCAUCGCAGUGGCAAACAAUUUAGCACUAGCACCCAUUCCAAUUGAACUGAGUCAAUUAAAUGUACUAGAACGACAACUGAUUGCUAAAAUUCUCCCGUUUGCCAAAAUCAUUGCAUUACCAAAAGGACAGCAAAGAGCCGUACAUGGGGCUGUUGUUUGUGUACCGUCGGAUGUGGAAACCACAGUAAACUCUCUUCCCAGACCUUGCAAUGAAGCCCAGCUCCUGCAGGUACAACUGAAAAGACACAUCAGAUUCAAAGGAUACCAACACUUCUACACUGUGAACAUGAAGAAUGUGUUAGCGGGCUUAUCAAAGCUAAAAGAGAUGCAUUCAGAAUACAAAGAUGUAUCUAUUGAUGAUGACGCUACUUUUGCUGAUCCCACAAAUCAGAUAAUCGAGACGGAACAUGACACUGCUGAUGCAGAUAUUCAAGAUGCACUGCCCAGAAACUUCGACAGCCAAAUUCUACCAGAAAGAAGAACCACUGAGGAUACAACAGCUGGAAUACUUGAGCCAUGUCAUGAUGUAAACGAACUAUUGGAGCCUGAACACUCAAAUGGAGAGCCCUUACAAGAUAUGGAGACAGAAAAGGAAGAACUUCGCCCCGGUCUUGUUCUAGACACCUGUAUGCAACCACCAGAUAUAGCACAGGACAUUUUAUCAUAUGGUGAAGGAAUAUUUAGCAUUGCACCCGCCCAAAGAAAUAGACCUGUUGGCUUCUUCUCUGUUCCUAAACUUGAAGCCAUGGCCUUUCCUGUGCAGUUCCCAACUGGACAGAACACAUUAGAUGAAGCCAGACAAGUCAAACUGUCCCCAAGCAUGUAUUUUAAUACACGGCUGUUCUCUGCAGAUACACGCUUUGCAACUGACCAAAGCUACCUAUUCUUUGCACAGUUUGUAACAGAAACACACAUGGCUACAAACAGCAUGUCCAUCCAAUUGCGCAAAGGUAAGGCAAUCACCAAGGAUGGACGUAGAAUUUGUAACAGAAUGCUUCAAAAUAAAGACGAAGUGGAGAGACUGAUAAAUAACAAAGAUGCAACACGCUUCAUGAAACCUCUGAGAGGUACUCCAGCCUAUUGGGAGAAGGCACUGAAAGAUCUCCAUGCUAUGGUCAGACAGUUAGGAAAGCCAACUUUUUUCCUGACAUUUUCAGCUGCUGAAAUGAGAUGGCCUGAGGUUGUUGAGGUCAUAAAAACUCAACAAGGUGAACAAGUGGAUUUUUCACAACUUGACUGGAACACAAAGUGUGAAAUUCUCCGAAGCAACCCUGUGACUGUGAUGCGAUUGUUUGAAAAAAGAAGUCGAUGCACUAAUGACAACACUGAUCCUGUCCCCAGCACAGCCCAUCGGUGAAGUAGAAGAUUACUUUUAUCGAGUGGAGUUUCAGGCCAGAGGUAGCCCUCAUAUCCAUUUACUGGUUUGGGUCAAAGAUGCACCUAAAUUUGGAAGCGACCUUGAAGACCACGUGUACAAAUUUAUUGACAAGUACAUAACAUGUAAGAUGCCUGACCAAAAUGCCGAUCCUGAACUUCACAAAAUUGUGUCUGAGGUUCAAGUCCACAGCAGAAAUCACUCCAGAUCCUGCAAAAAGGUAAUGUGUCAUGUAGGUUUGGGUUCCCCAAACUACCGGUAGACCAAACAAUGAUCACUUUCCCAAGCCCAGAUGAUGACGAUGAUCACAAUGAUAAGCAGCAUAGCACAAGUAAGGAGAAAGGCACAAAUGAAAAACAAAAGCAAAAAAACAGACGAAUGGCGCUCGCAAAAAAACAGAAAGAGGCCAAAGAAAAACUCCAGCCAUUGAGAGAUUUGCUCUGUGACCCAAAUUCCUCGUUUGAGGACUUGUCUGAGCUGCUUCACAAAUGCAGAUUAACUUAUGAACAAUACUUGGAUUGUGUCUUCAAUUUAAGCAAUGGCCAUGUCAUCCUCUUAAAGCGUGAACCUAAUGACUGCUGGGUGAAUGCAUACAAUGCAGAUCUGCUGAGAGCCUGGAAUGCCAACAUGGACAUCCAAUAUGUCAUUGAUGACUACAGCUGCCUGAUGUACAUGAUGUCUUAUGUCUCUAAACCCGAAUUUGAGAUGACACAAUUUCUUAAUGGAGUCAUCCAGGAGGUCAAAAAGUCCAAUGUCAAUGAAAGAGAUGAAAUGAAACAGAUAAUGCAGGCAUAUGCUAAACACAGAGAAGUCAGUGCCCAAGAAUCCGUGGCAAGGACAUGCAGCCUGCCACUAAAAAAGUGUUCACGCAGUGUGGUGUUCAUACAGACUGAUGAUGAUGCCCUGAAAAUGAGUCUCCCGAUGAGCAGGUUGCAGAGCAUGGCACCAGAUGAUGAAAAUGUGUGGAUGUCUGGAUUGCCAGAAAAAUAUGCAAACAGACUCAGAAUGCCUGAGUUUGAAAGAAUGUGUUUGGCUGAAUUUGCUUCAGAGUACAGGAUUCUCUACAGCCGUCAAACAGAGUCAAAAAAUGCCAUCCCUCUUUUGAAUAACAUGGGUUAUAUUCAAAAGAGAACAAGAGGGAAACCUGCAAUAAUCAGAUAUCCUCGCUUCUCAGAAAAGAAACAACCAGAGAAGUUUUAUAGCAGACUACUAAAACUUUAUUUUCCACAUCGAUCAAAUGAUGACCUUAAAA